ACAUACACCUAUGCUUUUGAAAGACAGAACAAAACAAAAGAACAUGUCACAUCAUGUAACAGUACUUCCUACAUUAAGUGAAGACAAGAAUGACAUCACAGUAAAAAUACGGCAAAAUGUUUUACCAUUGUGAAGCUAAAGCAGCAAAUUUUAAAAUAGGAACAUUUCUUAAAUUAACUCAAAAUAACAACACUACUAAAUGGUUGAAGAGUGCUAUAAUUUGUUCAUUGGACUCUGAUCAUUUAGGAGUGCCAUCUUCAGAG